AAUGAACGCUGGCGGCAUGCCUAACACAUGCAAGUCGAACGGAGGCUUCGGCCUUAGUUGCGCACGGGUGCGUAACGCGUGGGAAUCGGCACUCAGGCUCGGAAUAACUGCGAGAAACUGCUGCUAAUACCGGUGGAUAGAGCGUGAAUAAAGAUUUAUAGCCUGAGGAUGGGCCCGCGUAGGAUUAGCUAGCUGGUGUGGUAAAGGCGCACCAAGGGGACGAUCCUUAGCUGGUCUGGGAGGAUAAUCAGCCACACUGGGACUGAGACACGGCCCAGACUCCUACGGGAGUCAGUGGUGGAGAAUAUGGGACAAUGGGCGAAAGCCUGAUCUAGCAAUGCCACGUGAGUUAUGAAUGCCUUAGAGUUGUAAAGCUCUUUUUCUCGGGAUGAUAAUGACAGUACCGUGAGAAUAAGCUCCGGCUAACUCCGUGCCAGCCGCCGCGGUAA
rnacentral:rRNA from 1 species